GAAGUCCCAGAGAUUUGUAACCCUCCUUUAGCCAAGUGGAUGCUAACUGGCUAGUCUUUUGGCUAUCAUUAGCAUCAAUUCAUGUGUAAAUAUGGUCAUUACCUGAGCAAUCUGCAGGGGGGUUGGGGGUGUGUGUGUGAAUGGUUGCUGGUGGUUUGUUUGUAUGUGUGGGGGAGGGAGGGCUGCUAAAAGCAGAGAACUUGAUUGACCUCCUCUCCAAGAAAAGAAAAUGCAGAGAAGACUCACCACUCGGCAGGCCUUGGAAAUGAUCCUGAGUGAAGUAAACCCUUGUGACUCAGAUGGAGAAGACAUAGAACUUCAGCCGGAUUCGGACUCAGAUCUGUCUGAUCUGUCUUCAGAUGAGGAGACUGCUCCUCAACCAAAAAAGAGAGCCCGUUUGGGGACUGACCUGACAGAGACAGCGAAAGAUGGCACAGUGUGGCGUGAAGAACAGGUGGGGACGCGUCUCCCUUUCACCCCAAUCAAAGCGUACGCUGCAGAUGGAGAGCCAACGGCUAAGGCCAGGAAAAGUAUCUCGAGUCGCCUUCAGAGCUUCCUGUGUUUCAUCACUCUUGACAUGCUUCAUAGCAUUCAAGAAUGGACUAUUCAACAUGCACAGGAAACGGAGCAUGUUCAUUGGUUCAUGGCCCUCCCUGAACUAAUGGCAUUUAUUGCAAUUGUCAUCUUGCGGGGGCUUACCAAGGUGUUUUCAACCACUGCUGCUACGCUGACGGCGUAUGCGCCCAAACGGAAGAAGACCGUCUACAUUCUUAGCAGCAUGCACAGCGUGAUUCAGACUGAUAAUACCACCAAAAGGAAGCCAAACACUGUCACCCUUUACAACACCACAAAGUGCGGCGUGGAUGUGAUGGACCAGAUGGUGCGGGAGUACACUGUCCGCACAGGGACACGGCGCUGGCCAGUUGCCGUGUUCUAUAACAUGAUUGACAUGGCAGCACUGAAUGCACAUGUGCUGUAUCAAGCAUGCACCGGAAGGCAGGAAAGACGGGUGGACUUCCUGGUGGAGCUUGCAAGAGAGUUGGCUAACUCUCAUAUGUGUGCGAAGAAGGCAAGAAAAGAACAAUUGCUUCGGACACAACCCUCCACACCUAGCCCUGGAAAAAGAGCCAUGUGUCAGGUCAAACACCAAUGCAAGAACAAUCAUGCCACUGUGCGAUGUGUUCACUGCUACAGAUACACAUGUGGUAAAUGCAGACGGGAGAUACCAUGGCAGUGCCAGGAUUGUGAGUGAUUGCUGGAAUGUACUCACUCACUUUUUAAUAUUAUUUGUAAAUAUGUGUACAAAUGGUUGGUUUCUUUAUUUUAUUUUGUACUAUUUUUAUCAAUAAAUCUCAGCAACAAAGGAAAAAAAAACA
ensembl:lncRNA